CUAUAUAAAGGCUUCCAAGAACACAAAGUUCGAUCGGCAAACCCUACUCCUCCGGUCCUCAUAGGUGUUGCCGACAAGAUCGCCGUCAACGCCGGUGAAGAGCCUUCUCCUCCACUGCACAUGGAUGCUUCCCCGGAGAUCGCCGCCGCCGACUACGAAGAGGGUAGCAGUAACGGUGGCCGAGACGAGCAGGACGAGGACUGGUUGCCGAACGUCGGCGUCCCAAUGACGGCGUACUGCGUUGUCCUGUUCCUCAAGCUCAGCCGUGAUCUCGACCACAAAUCCAACAGCGAAACUAUGGAGUGGCUACUCCGGUUCGCGCGGCCGACUUGCGGUGUCGACCGCGGGAUGUAGCGUCUCCUCUUUUUGCCCCAGUUAGUGCCUCACUUCUACAUGCUCGGCCGCGAUCUCGGUCACAAAACGGACCGUGAGACGUUGCGCUGGAUACUCAGCUGGGUGUUCCCCAAUGCCUUCACGGCGGAGGAGCUCCAAACUCUUCAGCUCCAUGAACAUUUAGUUGGUGAUUAGGUACCGGAUCAGGAUGCACAGUGGAGAAGGCAGCAGCAACAAUGGUCGAUAAGACAAGGACUGGCUACCGAACGGUGUCCCUUAAGCUCGGCCGUGAUCUCCGCCACAAAUCCAACGGCGAGACGAUGGAGUGGCUAUUCCAACUCGCGCGGCCCAGCCUCAUGGAUAAUGAUGAGAACACCGACGGCGACGGCUCCAAGAUGCAGCGGUUCCCCGUGUCGCCGAAGCGUGCCCCCUUCGUUCUUCGCGGUCGGCCGCGAACUCGGCCACAAAUCGAACAGUGAAACCCUAUUCCGGAUGCUCCGCCGGGCCUUGACGGCGGAGGAUUUCGACGAGCUCGCCGCUGCCACUACGUUCUUCCGGGUCUGAAUCUUGCAUCUCCCGCAUCACAGAGGUUGCUUCGGAAGAAUUAGAGCUUGAGAAGGUUCUUAAAAUGCGACUUCAUCGGUAUUAAUAUUGGAAGGCAAUGACUAUUGUGAAGCAAUUCCAUUUAUAUUAGAUGGAAAUGUCUAAGAUUAUGGAUCCGAUCACACGAUAAGACAAAUCUAUGACAUGAAAGGAAGAAACAAUGGGAUGACAGAUUCAAUCCAAAGGCGGCAGGCGGCAGGCGGCAGAGGGAGGAUAUGGCCUUAAAUCUUGCUAACAGAUGGGGAUGGGAGCACCGUCCCAUUCCUUCAAGCACUCGAGGAGAGGGUCGAUCACCUUCCCCUGGCAGAUGGCGUCGAACACCUUGUCGAACUCCUCGCCCGGCGACGUCACCUUUUCGCCCGUCAGGAACCCCGUCUUGAGCUCCUCCCUCACCAACCUGUAAAGCGGGUAAGACCUGCACUCCUCGAUCCUGUUCGGAAUGGCCGCCUUCCCGCCCUCCACGGCCGACCUCGCCGCUUCCACUUCUUUCGGCAGCUGCGCCUUCAGCUCUUCUUCGAAGGUUGCGAUCUUCUGGAAGAUGGAGCUGCCGGCGUCCUUCUCCUUGUCGCCGUUCUCGAGCGCGUGCGCCACGAGGACCUGCCGCAACUUCUGCAUCAGCGGGUAGGUGGCGCUGCAGGGGUCGUCGACGUAGGUGAAGACGUGCUCCCGGUCCACCACCUUGAUCAGCUCCUUCUCGCAGAACCGGGCGGGGUGGAGUUCCCCGUUGGCGCCCAUGGUGAGCACCCGCUUCGCCACCUGGCUCACCGUGCUCUUCACAGCGCUCUUCAGGUUCUCCUCCAGGUGCCGGAGGUCGACGGCCUGGCAGAGCGCCACCAAGUAGGUGGUGGACAUGAGCUUGAGUAUGUCGACGGCCUCCGCCGUCUUCCUCGCGGAGAUGAGCCCCAGCGAGUUCACGUCCUGGUUGUGCUGCUCGGCGCUCUGGACGUGGUUGGUAACGGGGUUGGCCAGGAACUGGAGUUCAGAGCAGUAGGCCGCCAUGGCGAUCUCGGCGCCCUUGAACCCGUAGUCCAGGCUCGGGUUCCGUCCCCCAGAGAGGUUCGAGGGCAGGCCGUUGUUGUAGAAGUCAUUGACCAGCUCAGAGAACUGCGCAAACAUGAGCUUCCCGAUGGCGGCGACGGCCAGGCGGGUGUUGUCCAUGGAGACGCCGAUGGGCGUGCCCUGGAAGUUGCCGCCGUGGAGGGCCUUGCUCCGGGACACGUCGAUGAGCGGGUUGUCGUUGACGGAGUUGAUCUCGCGCUCGAUGGACUUGGUGGAAGCGCGGAUGACCUCGAUCUGCGGGCCGAGCCACUGAGGGGAGGUGCGCAGGGCGUAGCGGUCCUGCUUUGGCUUCUGGAGCGGGUCCUGCUCGUGCAGCUUCUGCGCCAUCUUCAUGUAGGAGCUUCCCUCCAGUAUGUGCUCCAUGAUGGCGGCCGCCUCGAUCUGGCCCGGGUGGUGCUUCAGCUUGUGCGUGAGGUGGUCGGUGAACUCCGGCUUCCCCUGCAUCACCUCGCAGAAGACGGCCGACAGCACCUCCGAUAGGACGGCCAGGACGUUGGCCUCGAAGAGCACCAUGGAGGCCAAGCCCGAUCCCACGGCGGUGCCGUUCACCAGCGCCAGUCCUUCCUUGGGCUGCAGUUCAAAGAAACCGUCCGCGAUGCCGGCGAGCCGGAAAGCCUCCGCCGCGCCUAUGACCUUGCCGUCGGGGCCGACGGCCUUUGCGUUCGGCCGGCCAGUCAGGAUUCCUGCGAUGUAAGACAGCGGGACGAGAUCACCGGAGGCGGUGAUGGUGCCCCGCAGCGGCAGGCAGGGGGUGAUGCCGUUGUUGAGCAGGCUGGCGAUGGCUUCCAGGAUCUCAAACCGGAUGCCGGAGUAGCCCUGGAGGAGGGUGUUCACCCGGACGAGCAUGGCCGCCUUCGCAGCGGACGAAGGCAAUGUGUUUCCCGACUCCGGGCCGGAGCCGAAGAUUCCGGCAUUGAGGAACCUGUAGCAGGUAGACUCACAUCAGCGAGGAGAUUCCACACGUCACACAUCAGCAAGAAGCAAGAAGGAAGUCAAGCAGCAGCAAAGAAGAAAGGAAACCUCACCUAAUGAGCUCCUUCUGAAGAGCACCUCCUUGCUUGGUCCUCCUGUGCGAGGUCGCGCCGAAGCCGGUGGUGACGCCAUAGCUGUCGGUCCCCUUGUUCAUGCUCUCCAUCACCCACUCGCUGCUGGCCCGCACGCCAUCCCUCGCCUCCUCCGACAGCUCCACCCUCACGGGCGACCGGGCAGCGGCCACGGCCGCCACCUGGGAGAUCGUCAGGGUCGCGCCCUCGAGCCUUACCUGCGGCUUCCGGAACUCCUCCACCAUGCGCUUCACCUCGUCGAGGUGGCUCCCCGUCAGCGACUCCGCCGCCUUGAUCCAGUUCAAGGGGUCCGCCUUUAGGCAGAACGCCUCGCCGUUCUCAACGACUUGAGCUUUCGGUGCGAACUCCAUUUCAAUACGUGAAUAGGUCAAGGA